GGGCCUGUAGCUCAGGGGUAGAGCGCUCGCUUUGCAUGCACAUGAAAAUGCGAGAGGCCUAGGGUUCAAAUCCCUACCGGUCCA